rnacentral:rRNA from 1 species
UACGUAGGGUCCGAGCGUUGUCCGGAAUUAUUGGGCGUAAAGAGCUCGUAGGCGGUUGAGUAAGUCGGGUGUGAAAACUCUGGGCUUAACCCAGAGCCGCCACCCGAUACUGCUCUGACUUGAGUUCGGUAGGGGAGCAGGGAAUUCCUAGUGUAGCGGUGAAAUGCGCAGAUAUUAGGAGGAACACCGGUGGCGAAGGCGGGUCUCUGGGCCGUUACUGACGCUGAGGAGCGAAAGCGUGGGAGCGAACAGG